GUUUCCGUAGUGUAGUGGUUAUCACGUGUGCUUCACACGCACAAGGUCCCCGGUUCGAUCCCGGGCGGAAACA
rfam:Trachymyrmex septentrionalis contig27260, whole genome shotgun sequence.